rnacentral:rRNA from 1 species
UACGUAGGGUGCAAGCGUUAAUCGGAAUUACUGGGCGUAAAGCGUGCGCAGGCGGUUUUGUAAGUCUGACGUGAAAUCCCCGGGCUCAACCUGGGAAUUGCGUUGGAGACUGCAAGGCUACAAUCUGGCAGAGGGGGGUAGAAUUCCACGUGUAGCAGUGAAAUGCGUAGAGAUGUGGAGGAACACCGAUGGCGAAGGCAGCCCCCUGGGUCAAGAUUGACGCUCAUGCACGAAAGCGUGGGGAGCAAACAGG